rnacentral:lncRNA from 1 species
AAUCUAUCAUUUGUUAGGGGAAAAAAAACAUUCACUAUAUAUUUAAUCACAAUAACUAUAUAUAAGCAUCCAAAACUAGAUGAUCAUAUACCUCCAAGAACACAAAAAGAUUUAAACAAAAAAAUUAUGUUCAUGUCGUACUUGCACUUUUUCUCCCCAUGAAUUAAACCAAAUAAAGUUGCUAUUACAUCCACAACUUGCCUUCUACUCUUUACAAAUUAUACUUGAUCUUUGCAACCUACAUCAUGAAUUGAACACAAAAACAUAGUUACAUUUUGACAUAAAAAAAAUAAUAAAGCUUUAAAAAAUGAGAAGGAAAAUAAUGUUCUGUUAGUAAGUACAAAUAAAAAUAACAAUAUUGAAAAUCUAAAGCAAUGAACAUUUAUCUUUGCAUUAAAGGAGGAAAAGAUCUAUUUCAUUUAUUAGGAGAUUAAGCUAUAAUGUAACGAUAAGCAAUAAGAAUCAAAAUAAUAAGAAGAAUACAAGAAAAGCUAAAUCACAACCCGCCAAGAUCAACAUUUCAAACUCAAAUGGCCAUGGUGAAGCCUUGGCAUAUGGCUCCUAGUGAAAACGAAUAAAACAAUUAUUUGUCCAAAUAAUUACUCAAAGUAAAUGAACGAAAAAAUAAUCUAAAAACCCAAGCUUCUCUUAACUGAAAAAUAAUAAUAAUAUUAAUAAGGACCUUCUCAAAGUAGCAAAAUGCAAAGUUAUUUUCUUAUAGCUGUAAACUAGAUCAAAUUCGCUAUCAAUAGUAAAAUAUAUAAAGUCAUCGUAAAAAAGAAAAGGAAGUGAAAAAAAAUUACCCAAAUAGAUGAACUGGAAAAGCUAGUUGGAAAGAACUAAGACAACUCAUUAGGAGGUCAUGUAAUUGUACUCCCAACAAAAUUUUCAAUUGUAGACAUAUGAGGCAUUACUUUACAUAAAGCUUUCGAGAUUGCAUUGCUAGAUCCAUGCAAAACUCUUAUGGUAUUAGAACCAACAGGAAUGUGAUGAACAAGUGCAUUUAGAUUACUUGAUGACCAACGCCCUUCAACAACAUCACACCCCACUAAAUCAAGCAUUAUACACUUAGUAACUUUUGGGAAUACCUUCACUGAUAGACAGCAAAUGCAUGAGCCACGAAGAUCUGGAAGAAUCCAAAGCCAAAUCCUAAGUUUGCUACGUGAGGGCAUGAGUCCCAUGCAAGCCAUGCAUGAAACAUGCACGUGCUGAGAUUGUGAAGAUACGUGCUGGAGCUGGAGCCGGAGCCGUGAUCUAGGAAUACGCUUAUCAACGAUUGUGCAGCGAGUAAGGAGGGAAGCUAAGAUACGGAAGUUGUUUUCGAUUCUCUUUCGAUAUCAAAUUUUUAGCUAAGUUGUUAUACUCGUUUAUUUAGCCGUAAUUGUAGGAUGGAAACCAAAGUCUUGUUAUUAUAAAUAAGCUCCAGAAUAUGAAUAAAAGUAUUGAGAAUUCUAAACAACAAUUAUUUAGUCCUUUCUCGCCAUAAGCAGAAAACUAUCACUUGUGUUACGCGUGAUCAUUGGCUGUCUCUGACUGGGACCUAUCAAUUGGUAUCAGAGCGGGUUAACAAUGAUGACCAACAAAGAAAGUAUUGAGCGAAUUGAAGCUGAUCUGGAAAGCCUGGAGAGCCGAAUGGAACGCAUGGAGAUUGGUAUCAAUGACAAGCUUCAGCGAUUAGAAGACACCAUCAACAAAUUAGCAGAAACUUUCAAUGCAUCCAAAGGCACCACUAGCCACGGCACCAACGAAACCAUUGGUUCACCGCAGCCAGUUCGAGAAGAAAGUGAAGGAGUAGUGAAGCUGCACGGUAUGCCCAAGUCAAUCAUCAACGAUCGUGACCCCAUAUUUAUCAGCAAAUUUUGGCAAGAGUUCUUUAAAUUAUCAGGCACCAAAUUAAAAAUGAGCUCGGCAUAUCAUCCUUAAACCGACAGCCAAACCGAGGUAAUUAACCGAUGCCUUGAACAAUACUUGAGAUGUUUUGUUCAUCAGUGGCCACGGAAGUGGCACUCCUAUUUACCGUGGGCUAAGUUUUGGUAUAACACCACCUUCCAUAUCUCCACCGGGAUGAUCCCAUUUCAAGCUCGGGGCGAUAUGGUGUUUUUAAAACUCCAGCCCUACCGUUAAUCAUCUGUGUUUAAAUGGGCACAUCAAAAGUUGGCUUGCAGGUAUUUUGGGCCGUAUUCCAUCCUCCGUAAAAUCGGCGCCAUUGCUUAUGAACUACAACUACCAGCACAUGCCAAAAUUCAUCCGGUGUUUCACGUCUCUCUGCUUAAAAAAGCCGUGGGUGAUUUCCUCUCCACCAGCACCGAAGUGCCACCUGUGACUGAUGACGGAUUGGUGAUACUGGAACCUGAGGCUGUCAUUGACACACGCUGGUUGAAAAGGGGAGGAAAGCUGCUUGAACAAAGUUUGGUCCGUUGGAAGCAUUUGCCAAUCGAAGACGCCACCUGGGGGGACACCACAAUGCUGCACCAACAGUUUCCCAAUCUGACCCUUGAGGACAAGGGUAUUCUUCGAGGAUGGGGCAAUGAUAGACAGCAAAUGCAUGAGCCACGAAGAUCUGGAAGAAUCCAAAGCCAAAUCCUAAGUUUGCUACGUGAGGGCAUGAGUCCCAUGCAAGCCAUGCAUGAAACAUGCAUGUGCUGAGAUUGUGAAGAUACGUGCUGGAGCUGGAGCCGUGAUCUAGGAAUACGCUUAUCAACAAUUGUGCAGCGAGUAAAGAGGGAAGCUAAGACACGGAAGUUGUUUUCGAUUAUCUUUCGGUUUCAAAUUCUUAGCUAAGUUGUUAUAUUCGUUUAUUUAGCCGUAAUUGUAGGAUGGAAACCAAAGUCUUGUUAUUAUAAAUAAGCUCCAGAAUAUGAAUAAAAGCAUUGAGAAUUAUAAACAACAAUUAUUUGGUCCUUUCUCACCAUAAGCAGAAAAAUGUCACUUGUGUUACGUGUAAUCAUUGGCUGUCUCUGACUGGGACCUAACAACACGAUUGACCAAACCACGUAAAAAUUGUGUGUUUGCUCUCUCUUACCCUAUCUCUUUAUUAAAAUACACUUAUCAACGAUUGUGCAGCGAGUAAGGAGGGAAGCUAAGAUACGGAAGUUGUUUUCGAUUCUCUUUCGAUAUCAAAUUUUUAGCUAAGUUGUUAUACUCGUUUAUUUAGCCGUAAUUGUAGGAUGGAAACCAAAGUCUUGUUAUUAUAAAUAAGCUCCAGAAUAUGAAUAAAAGUAUUGAGAAUUCUAAACAACAAUUAUUUAGUCCUUUCUCGCCAUAAGCAGAAAACUAUCACUUGUGUUACGCGUGAUCAUUGGCUGUCUCUGACUGGGACCUAUCAUUCACACUCUUCAACUGCAAUAUAAGAACAAUUUAAAAACCAAAAAUAAAUUAUCAUUAAAGAUAAUCCUUCAAUAUUUUUAUUUUUCAUGCUUUAAUUAAAUUUAAAAUGUAAAUAGUAUUCUUACCAUUGAAGAAGUCAAUGGUAUUUUUGGAGGAUUCCCACAUGCUUGGCUUUCAUGAAAAUGACUCUAAAAUGAAAAAUAAAAAUUCAAUAACUAAAUAUUAUAACAAUUAUAUAAAAGUGAAUAAAACAUAAUACAUACUUGCCACCUUUUUAUGUAGCUCUUCAACUAGCUUUCGCAUAUAGGACAAUUCUUUUCGAAAUAAUACUACUUUUUUUAUAUAAUAGAAAACAAUUUAAGAAAUGAUUGUUUAGCUAAAUUUUUAUUAUAUAUAUAUAUUCCCAGAAAAUUUUACAAGAAAGAAAAAUUUGUGUUGAGAGAAUGCUUUGGUCUUUGAGAGCUUGUCCGAAAAUCAACCUCUCCUAAAGAAAAAUUGCUUUGCUCAGCAAUGCCAAUUAAAUCCUGGAUUGACAUAGUUGAAGAACAAGAGCAACAAGAAGCCCAAUCUAAAGACACCAAGGAAAUUUUCCUGUCUUAACUAUAUUCCCAUCUGUUUCUUUCUGUAAUAAAUCUUCAUAAAGAUUCAAGGAUACAAGCGAUUUAACUUGUAAGUUGUAAGUUUCCAUUUGUAAUUUCAAUUUAAAGUUCGGUUGCAUGUUUAAAUUUCUGCAAUUAAUUUAAAGUUUUUAAUUUUCAUAAAACUUGUUACAUUCCUCUAAGGCAAAGAGACCGGAUCUCUGCCCUUAGUUGUAUCUUCUCUUCUCCCUCCAUUCAAUCAGAAUACUAUUUUUGGGAUCCAGAUCUAGUAUUAUCUAUGAGCCUUCUAGAUUUUGUUGCUAGGCUUGAUUAAAGAACACCAGACCACCUUUUUUUUAAAAAAAAAAUUAUUUUGGUAUAUUGGCUGGAAAACAGAACGUGCGAGAUAUUGAUCUGUUCUAAGUCAAAUCUGGUCUCAAAGGCAGAUUAAGUUCUGCAUCGAUCUGGUAACAACGCCACGUAUUGAUUUAAUUAAGUGUGAUUAAUUUAAUUUUUUGCUUAUUAAUUGCAAUUUGAAGUUUUAAAAUUUUGAGUUCUCCAAAUUCAUAUCCAUCCUUCGAUCCAAUUUCCUACUAGUAUCAGAGCCAGUAGGAAAUUGGAUCGAAAUGUAAAUUUCCAUUUGUAAUUUCAAUUUAAAGUUCGGUUGCAUGUUUAAAUUUCUGCAAUUAAUUUACCAGUAGGAAAUUGGAUCGAAGGAUAGAUAUGAAUUUGGAGAACUCAAAAUUUUAAACUUCAAAUUGCAAUUAAUAAGCAGAAAAUUAAAUUAAUCACACUUAAUUAAAUCAGUACGUGGCGUUGUUACCAGAUCGAUGCAGAACUUAAUCUGCCUUUGAGACCAGAUCUGACUUAGAACAGAUCAAUAUCUCGCACGUUCUGUUUUCCAGCCAAUAUACCAAAAUAAUUUUUUUUUAAAAGGGUGGUCUGGUGUUCUUUAAUCAAGCCUAGCAACAAAAUCUAGAAGGCUCAUAGAUAAUACUAGAUCUGGGUCCCAUAAAUAGUAUUCUGAUUGAAUGGAGGGAGAAGAGAAGAUACAACUAAGGGCAGAGAUCUGGGGUCUUUGCCUUAGAGGAAUGUAACGGGUUUUAUGAAAAUUAAAAACUUUAAAUUAAUUGCAGAAAUUUAAACAUGCAACCGAACUUUAAAUUGAAAUUACAAAUGGAAACUUACAACUUACAAGUUAAAUCACUUGUAUCCUUGAAUCUUUAUGAAGAUUUAUUACAGAAAGAAAUAGAUAGGAAUAUAGUUAAGACAGGAAAAUUUCCUUGGUGUCUUAAGAUUCCUAGAAAAUUUUACAAGAAAGAAAAAUUUGUGUUGAGAGAAUGCUUUGGUCUUCGAGAGCUUGUCCGAAAAUCAACCUCUACCUUCUUUCGUUUCCUUCGUCUUCUUUAUAAUGAAAACCGUUGGAUGGCAUGAUGCUAUUCAUUCACAUGCGUGGAUGGAGGAGCGGGACCUCCAAGACAUAUUGGGGACAGCAUCAUUUGUCAUGAACUUGCUUUAUGACCGUGGCUUUAUUGGCUUUUGCUGGAGCUUCACAUGCGUGGUUGGAGAGUCGAGACUUUAAAGGUGAGUGGAGACAGCAUCAUUUUUCUUUUACGACUUUAAAGGAAAAGCAAAAGAUGGGUGAAGAGACAUGUGCGCUCUCACUUGUGUCCAGGGGACCACCCAAAAAUAAAAUAAAUACAGAAAUUACAAUUAUUUACAGAAGGGAAAACAAUGAUUACAAAAGUACGAAAUAUAAAAUCACUCUUUUUUUUUUUGCAUACAAAGUGCUAAAAAUUACAAAUGACUUUAAGAAUGCUUUAUUGGAGAAAAUAUUCCGAAGCAGUCAUCUUCGUUAUCAUCUCCAAGGGAAAUGAACGGCUCAGCUUCACCAGAAGAACUCGAACCAGAACUCGCAACUGAUGGUUCUGAUCUCGAGGCAAGGAGCUGUUGCAUAACUUUAAAAUAUUCCUCUUCGGUUUUUGCACUGGCCAAGAGAGACUGGGCCUUCGUUCUUUGAGCGAGGAAUGUGCUUUGGGCUUUGACGUCUUGAAUGCUUGGAGUAAGGAGUCCUCUUGAAGAAAGCCAAGCUUGAACUGUGGCUUCUAAAAGUUUGGACUAUUCGUCAAACUUAGAUCACCAUUUAACUUUAAAGGUUCUUUGUAAAACGAGUUGGGCUUCUUGAGUGUGGUAAUUGAAAUUCCACAUCCAGACCCAAGGAAGGAAGAAAUUUGUGCAGAAACAGAGAAAAUGAGGAAAUCUUUUCUCAGACUCUGAAGGAACAUAAUGGGUUUUAAAAAGAUUUAAACAUUGGAUAGCGUUAGGGGUAAGAAUAUCUGGGCUUGGCCCAAAAUAGUUCCACCAUUGUUGGAACCAGUUUGGAAGACUCUGGACGAUUAUUUUUGAAUUGAAGAAAAAUAACCAAGAAUGGGUCUUUUUUGGGUUUUGAAUGAAAAAGGUGUUAAACCAGGCUUGCUGAUAAUCCUAAUAAGAAAAGGAUAAGCAAUGGUUUAAACUUCUUUGAAAAUUGGCGAGAAAGGUCUUUAGUUUGUGGAGUUGGUCGUUCCACUGUUUUGGGCUCAAGACUUUAAGAAUGGUUGCCGUGGAAUAGGCAAGCUCAGAAUGAGAUUCACUGAGGAAGAAAUGUUUGAAUUUUACUGACUCAGUGAAUUCUAAAAUAGCUUGAUAGAAAGACUGAGGUUUUGACAAAUCCCAAGGUUUGAAAAACCAACCUUUCGGAAAAAUUUUUAAAAUUGCUUGAAAAGGAUCAGAGUGAUAAAAUCCAUCUUCCAUAGUUAAAACAUCUUGGAAAUGGGUUUUAUUAAUCCAAUCGGAAGGUUUCUUUGAAAACAUUGGUUGGGAAAGAACAAUUUGUGAAGAUGAGCUUUCACCAGAAAGAACUAUAUUUUGGGAAAUUUUAGAAAUCUCUUUAGGGUUUUCUUUUUCAGAAAUUUCUUUAGAAGAUUUUUGGCUUUAAGUAAAACUUUGUAAAGCAAUCAUAAGUUCUGGGGAUUUAGAGAUGGAUUUCAUCCAUUCAUUUACCUGUUCUUGAGAGGCAAUAGCUUUAGAUUGGGCAGAGGCAAUAGCUUUAGAUUGGGCUUCUUGUUGCUCUUGUUCUUCAACUAUGUCAAUCCAGGAUUUAAUUGGCAUUGCUGAGGAAAGAAAUUUUUCUUUAGGAGGGGUUGUUGUUGAGGCUUUGGAGGUGGUUUUAGGUUCAGGGUCUUUGAGAAUACCCUUCCCCUUAUCUCGUCUUUUUGGCGGCAUUAUCUGUUUUGGAGAAAUUUCCUGGUUAGAAAAUUAGGGAUAGAAUUUGUAUCACCUUUAAUAAACUCAAUAUCAAAAUCAAAGACACUUAAAAUGGCUUGCCAUCUUGUAAAAAUUUGUUUUGAAGUAAUAUUUUGCACAUCUUUUUCUAAAACAUGUUUUGCAGCUUUGCAAUCAAUUCUGAGCAAAUAUUUUUUGAUUUAAUAAAUCACUUUGAAAUUUGGAUAUGCAUAAAACAAUAGAAAUAAUUUCUUUUUUAAUAGUAGAAUAAUUUCUUUGACAUUCAUUCCAGUGUGCAGAAAUAUACUGUACAAUCUGUUCUUUAUUUUUCUCUUUUUGUUUUAAUAUUCCUCUAUAUCCUAAGUCUGAUGUAUCUGUUUCAACAAUUUUAGGUAAUGCAGGAUUUGCAAGGAAUAAACAUGAAAUAUUUUUAACAGAAUUCUUUAUUAAUAUAACAACUUUAGUAUGCUUAUCAGUCCAUGCAACAUGGUUCUUUUUUAAUCUAUCAUGCAAGGGUUUUGACAUCCUGUUGAUAUUGGGACAAAACUCAAGAACGUAAUUUAAACUUCCUAGAAAUCUUUGCAGUUGUGUUUUAUCAAGAAUUUUAUUAGGAAAUUUAUCUGCAAAUACGAGAGACCGCUCAAUAGGAGUAAUGGUUCCUUUGGAAAUGUAAUGACCAAGGAAUCUGAUCUUUGUUUGAAAUAAAGAAACUUUAGAACUAGAAAUGGCUAAACCAGCCUUUCUAGUGGCAAGGUAAAAAGUCUUUAGAUGUUUGAAAUGUUGAUCAAUGGUCUGGGAAAAAAUCAACACAUCAUCAAUGUAAACAAUGCAAAAUUCAGAGAAAGGAUUAUAAAUAUCAUUCAUAAUUCUUUGAAAUUCUGAAGGAGUAUUCUUUAAACCAAAUGGCAUAACAGUCCAUUCAUAUUGUCCAAAAGGCACAGUAAAAGCAGUUUUAUAACAAUCUUUGGGAUGUAUUUGAAUUUGCCAAAAUCUAGACUUCAUAUCAAAUUUUGAAAAAAUAAAUGCAGAAUGCAGUUUCUGGAGCAAAUCCUUUUUAUUAGGUAUGGGAUACCUAAUUUAUUUUAAUGCUUUAUUUAAGGGUUUGUAAUUUAUUACAAGUCUAGGUGUUCCUCUUUCUAUUUAAGAGUUUUGUUGACAUAAAAAGCGGCACAAGACCAUGGAGACUUAGAUUUUGUAAUGAGACCUUUUGAUUCUAAAUCUUUUAUCUCAUCUUUACAAUGUUGUUCCAAUUCCAUAUUCAUCUGGAUCGGACGGGCUUUGGUAGGUAUUUAUUUUUCAUCAAAAGAGUUUUCAUAGGGCAAAUCAACCAAAUGUUGUUUAUGUUCCAAAAAGCAGAUGGAAGAUCUGCACAUAUUUCUUUUUCAAUGAGGUCUUUAAAAUCAGAGAUUUUUCUUUUUACAAUUCAUUUUGUAAUUGGUUUUCAAUUCUUUGUAAACUCAAAUAUUUUUUUAAACAAAUUAGGUCAUUUUGUUUUGAUUUGAGGAGAGCAUUGAUUUGGUUCUGGUAAACAGAACAAGCUUUAACGAUCUUCAAGUUUCUUGUUUUGGGUUUUUCAAUAAAAGGAAAAACAAGUUUUUUAGUUUUUGCUUUAAAGGAUAUACUAUCGUAGUUGACAGUAUAUGGAGUAAUGAGAUUGAUAAAAGGAGUUCCUAAUAUAACAGUGUGAUGGAUAUCAUUAGUUAAGAGGAAGCAAUUCCUGAAUUCAAAACCAUUGUUAUGAAUAGAGGCGUCGACUUUAGAUUUGACUUUUAAUUUUGAAUUAUUGGCGGCUGAGAGUCUUUCAUUUGUCUUUUCAUGAAAUCUUUUAGGGACAAUAUCUUCUUUAAUGCAGUUUAAAUCGGCACCGGUAUCAAAAAGGGCAAUUGUGUCAAUUUCAAAGUCUUUAGAAAGGAUUAAAGUAAUUUUUAUCAAGUCUUUUCUUGUGGUGAUUUGUUUUAAAAUAAACAGAAAAUCAUUGGGUAUAGAUUCAAUGUUUUCGACGUUUUGUUCAUUCUCACCAUUAGAUUCAACAUCUUUAUCAAAAUUAUCUUCUAAUUGUUUUUAUAAGAGGAGUUGAAUGGUUUCAGAAUCAUUUUUUUGUUUUUCUUUUAAUUCUUUUAUCUCAAGUUUGAUUUCUUUAAUCUCUUUUUGAAGAUCCUGGAUGUUAGGAGUCGUUUUCUUUGUUUUCUUUUUAUCAAGGAUUUCAGUGAGGUCAUAAGUAUUCUUUUUAGUUAUUGGGGCUUUAGAAGUUUCUACUUUAUUGAGUUCUAAGGUUUUUAAAAGUUUAUCGAGGUAUUCUUUUUGGAGAUUUGGAUCCGAAAUAUGUUUAACUAAUUCAAGAAAAGUUUCUUGUUCUUUAGUCAAUACAUUAAUCUUCUUUAAAUAGGACUCUGCGACAGAAUCAUUAUUACUGGAUACAGAUGUAUCUGAGUCGAUUAACUCAUCAAUCUGUAAGGGCUCACUAUCUCCCGUCAUAGAAGACUCAGAGUCAGAUGACUCUACCAUUAAGGAAGCUACUUUAGAAAGUAUUUCUUCAUCAAGGCCAAGCGCAUGGAGCUUUCUGCUCAUUCUACAGAACUUUGCAGUGUGGCCUUUCUUUCCACAUUUAAAACACGUGGCUUCUUUGUAGUUAAAAGGGGUUUUUGUUGUGACUUUAGAGGUUUUCUUUUUAGAGAAAUGAGGUUUUCUAUAAGGCUUCGAAGGUUUCUUAUGGAAAGGUUCUUUAAAGCUGUGGAAGGGUUUUCUAUGGCUUUUAGAUUUGUAAUGUUUCUUGUAAGGUUUUGAAGAACAUUCACCAUUACAAUCUUUAAAAGCGGAAGUUUUAAAGAGGUCAUAGUUGAAUUGCUUAUAGAAACUGCCUAAUUCUUGCUUAAAUUUUAUAAUCUCCCAUUUUAGACGUUUUUGAAGUUUCAAGUCUUGACAAAUCUUUAAACCUUCCUCAUUAACAAAACUGACUAAUUCACCAUAGGUGAGUUCGUCAUAAGGAAUACGGUUGUCAUAAAGGGCUUUAAUAGAAUUCCUAACCUUUUCUCCUAAUAGGGUAGGUAAACCUGCAAGGAAUUUUUCCUUCCAAGUUAUAUGAUUUGCAUCAUCCCUAAGGAAGAGUCUGGUAAAGAAUGUGGUUUUAUAGAUUUGGAAUUCACUAAGUUUUCUACAUCUCGGGUUGUGUAGUAACUCGGCGUUCUUGUCUCUAAGGUGUGAGGGAUCGCCUAUGAAAUGGAGGGAUAUGGUCAAAAUCAGGGUAGCAACAGCAUCCUGAAUUGGACUAUUGAAUUCAUCAAGAAUGGGGGCUCCAUUUUCAUCCGUUUGGAUAGAAUUUAGGAUAUCUAAUUGUUACUGUUUGGUGAGAAGAUGAUCCCACCAACCUUUAAGUUGACCUGUAAAACCAGCAAUGAUAAUUUCUGUAAUGGCCUUGUCAGAAGUUCCCGACUGUGUUUUAUAUGCAUUGGCUGCCAUGGUCAUUUGUUGCAACAAUCCUAAAAUAUUGUAUUCAGACAUACCAUCAAUGUUCCACUCAUAGACAGAGAAUGCAUUAAAUCGUGAUUGGUUUAAUGCAGCAGGCCUGUUGUCUAUGGCAAGGUCAGGCGAAAACUUGACAGUAGGUAGGGCUAAUUCCCAAUGGAUUUUUUGGCUUUGGAAACAGGUUUUUCUUUAAAGGCUUCUAUAUCAGAAGAGGCUAUAGACACAUUGUGUUGUACUAGUACACCAAUUUUACUAGAUUGGACACUAUCAGGAGCUAUUUGGAUUUUACUAGAUGAAGAAGAAGAAGCUUCUAUCCUAUUUAGUUGUUCUCUAAUGGCUUUAGCAAAAUCUGAUUUUGACUCUUGAACAAGCUUUUGACUAGUUUUCGAAACCUGAAAAGGUUUGAAAAUAGGCUCUUUAAGCUUUUUGUUAGAAUCCGACUUUGAUGUAACAAGAGAAACAACUAUGGUUGACUUCUGGAAUUGGUUUUCUAUUCUGGUCAACUGUUUUCCUAUUGUAUUUAGAUUGGCAUUACAGAAAUUAUUCUGUUGGAUAAUGCUAUCUAAAUCUGUUUCUGGAUCUUUAUGGAUUUUUGUAAGGUGAGGCUUUAAUCUGGAUAGGAGGUUCACCAUGAUGAAUGGUUAGACUCCUAAGCGGAGGAUGUUCAGACUCCAUACUCCUAUCACUAUCGGAAAGAUUUCAUUCAGUGAUUUUCUUUCUGAUAGUAAUGGGGUUUGAUUCUUUAAAAGGAUAUGAAAUGUUGUUAUCCGAAGCAUACAUCUCAAACCAGUCAAAAAAUAAUAUAUGAACUUUAUGCAUAUUAAUAAACUCAUAAAAAGUUUCUUGAAUUUCUUUUCUUUGAUUUAAAAAAUGUUUGAAAAACCAAAGUCUUUUUUCUUUAUUUUUAUCAGAAUAAAAAUAAUUGUGAAGAAGAGUUUUAUCCAGUUCAAAAUCCAUUUCUAUGACACUAAUCACAUUUUCUGUGAUUGCAGAAAAUGUAGGAGAAGUUGGAGGAGAAGGUUCCUUCUCUUCCCGACUUUGUUCAUGUUGACGGCUAGUGUAGAUGGGAUGAAGAACACUAGUUGUAUAAUCAACAGAAUGUAUAGAAGAACUAGGUAUAUCCGAAGUGGAAAACCUAGGUUGACUUUUUAUUGGUUGGAAAGGGAGAUUUAUUACUGAAGGAACUUUUGAAAACUUCCUUUCCCAUGAAGGAAUGCUUGAGCAUGAAUCUUUAUCAGAGAAUCUAGAUGAUGUAGAUCUCCUAAAGGAUAAUUUGACUUUACCAUCAGAAUACUGAGUCACAUUUUGUAACUCUGUAUUUGGCUCAAGUUGUUUAGGAAUCAUUGGUGCAGUGGCUCCUUCAAGAAUCCAUUCGUCCGGAAGAUUGACAUCUUUCCAUUGGAUGGGUUUUGGAAUAACAGUAUUGGCUUUAGACAGGUCAGUCUGUAAGAGAAGGGUCUCAUCUCUUUUUGACUAAAAUUUGUGUUGCGUGCUAAAUGCAGAAAUCAUGGCUUUGUAAGAAAUUUUAUAAAUUAAGGUAACUGGGACAGAUCCCUCAAUCAUGUGAUAAUUAUGGGUCUUGAUUUGUAACAUCAUGCUUUUUAAAAUGUUCUUGUCUUUUAGAGAAAUUGUUAUGUUCGGGUAACAGCUGAAUGAAAUUGGUCCUUUACAAAGACUUGAUUUUAUACUACUUAGUAAAGAAUCAUAAAAAGAGAUGAAUCGCCCAUCUCUAAGGACAACAAGAAUAGAAGUAUUUAGACCUUCUUUUGUUAAGGGUUUUAUAUCAACUUGUACUAAGCCGAUGUGAACAUAUUUAAAAUUUUUAUCUUUUAAUUUCUUUAAAGAUUGUUAUGAAAAUAGGUGAAUAGUUUCAAAUGGUUUUGAAAGAGUUAUGUCUCGUUCUUCAGUUUUUAUAACAUAAUCAUUCUUUAAAAAAUCAAGCUUUUUUAUUUUGUAAAUCAUUUCUUUAGAAAUCUUUGGUAAUUCCCAAUUAUCAAUUGCUUUAUUAAAGUCUUCAAUUACAAAUUCUUCCGAAUUCACAACAUUCUUUGAAUCACUAGUUCUUCCGGAAGAAGAACUAGAAAAGGACGAUACUCUAUAGAGCAGAGAAUCCAUGGGUCAAGACCUAUAUUUUAGUAUCAGUCUUGUCGGUAUGGCUACAAUCCAAGGCUAAGAAUUGGUUUUACUGCCCUUCAACAGUGUGAUGGAUAUCAUUAGGUUUGAGAAGAGCAUUGAUUUGGUUCUGGUAAACAGAACAAGCUUUAACGAUAUUCAAGUUUCUUGUUUUGGGUUUUUCAAUAAAAGGAAAAACAAGUUUUUUAGUUUUUGCUUUAAAGGAUAUACUAUCGUAGUUGACAGUAUAUGGAGUAAUGAGAUUGAUAAAAGGAGUUCCUAAUAUAACAGUGUGAUGGAUAUCAUUAGUUAAGAGGAAGCAAGUCCUGAAUUCAAAACCAUUGUUAUGAAUAGAAGCGUCGACUUUAGAUUUGACUUUUAAUUUUGAAUUAUUGGCGGCUGAGAGUCUUUCAUUUGUCUUUUCAUGAAAUCUUUUAGGAACAAUAUCUUCUUUAAUGCAAUUUAAAUCGGCACCGGUAUCAAAAAGGGCAAUUGUGUCAAUUUCAAAGUCUUUAGAAAGGAUUAAAGUAAUUUUUAUCAAGUAUUUUCUUAUGGUGAUUUGUUUUAAAACAAAUAGAAAAUCAUUGGGUAUAGACUCAAUGUUUUUGACGUUUUGUUCAUUCUCACCAUCAGAUUCAACAUCUUUAUCAAAAUUAUCUUCUAAUUAUAUAUAUAUAUAUUAACCAUAUCUUCCGCCGUUCUAACAACUCAUCUAUGCCUUGUUGUUUAUGGGAUUUAUUUCUAGCUAAUCUUUCUAAAUAUUUCAUUUCUUUCCUACACAAUUGGAUAAGCUUUGUUCAGUUACAUAGAUAUGGCUAUAAUUACAUAUUCUAAUAUAGUAAUACACUUAUCUUAAAUUUUUCACUGUUUCUUUUUCUUUCACAAAACUUUUCCACUCACUUAUUGAUAAGAUAUUAUCAUGUCUUAACUUCAUUCUUUCUUGCUCAUUUUUUCCAAGUUACACAUAUAAAACACAAAAAAAUAUGAGUUAGUUUAAGAACACAACCCAUAAAAUUUAUAAUGCAAAAACUUUAAUAAUUGUUAAAGAGAUGUUGGCCCCCAAACAAGUUUUGAAAAAUGUUAAAAUGAAAUAAACAAUGCCAGAAAAUUGUAUUUGGGACUUAAGUUUGUUUACUAAACCUACUUCAGUGUUGAUAUGCACAUUGCUACAAAUCUAUUGAGUGGGAAGCUGAUAAUUUCUCCAUCAAAUGCUAAGACUAUACCAAGCAAACAAUAGCUUUGAGAUUCUACAAUUAAAAUUGUGUUAAUACUAACGAUUACAAAAUAUAUCAAAACCCAAGAUCAAUUUGCUUGGGAAAGAAAGAAAUCAUAACCAGCCAAGGUAUAAUAACAGCAAAUAAGCUAAAAAAAAUAAAACAGAUGCAACUAAUAGUAAGUAUUGCUUGAAUGCUAGGGAUUUAGUGAUUAAAAAAAUAAGUUAUAAAACUAUUAAUAAUCCACAAAUAAUUAAGAAGAUAACAUGAUUUUUCCUUUUAAAUGUUCAAUCAUCAAACCCAAAUACAAAUAGUAAAUAAAUCAUUUUAAUCAUUAAUUGCUCAUGUAGAUGGAAGAAAGAGCACCCAAAUUGGGGUUAUAUAUUUGUUUCAGCCAUGGGUAUAGUAGCGAAAUUGAAGUUGCAUGAGUGAGAAUCCUUACCAAAUCAAUUAGAUGACUUCUAAAUUACCGAAAAGCCAGCCUAAUCUUUCUCAAGUCAGCGAAUAUAUGUGAAGUGGCCAGGGAAUCGUCGUCCAUUUUUUUCCUUUUCUUUUUCCCUUUUUCCUUUUUGAGAUUUGGUGAGUAUUAGAAUGGAUAAUAGACAUUAGAGGAGAAUUCUCUAGAAAACUGUAGCGAGAAGGGAAAUAAUGUAGGCGCCUUUCGUUUUUUUUU